CGGCAACAGCCUAAAACUCAAAGGACUUGGCGGUGCUUUAUACCCUUCUAGAGGAGCCUGUUCUAUAAUCGAUAAACCCCGAUAAACCUCACCAGUCCUUGCCAAUACAGUCUAUAUACCGCCAUCUUCAGCAAACCCUAAAAAGGAGAAAAAGUAAGCACAAUCAUUAUACAUAAAAACGUUAGGUCAAGGUGUAACCUAUGGACUGGGAAGAAAUGGGCUACAUUUUCUACCCCAAGAA
rnacentral:rRNA from 1 species